GAUGAACGCUGGCGGCGUGCCUAAUACAUGCAAGUCGAGCGAACAGACGAGGAGCUUGCUCCUCUGACGUUAGCGUCGGACGGGUGAGUAAAACGUGGAGAACCUACCUAUAAGACUGGGAUAACUUCGGGAAACCGGAGCUAAUACCGGAUAAUAUAUUGAACCGCAUGGUUCAAUAGUGAAAGACGGUUUUGCUGUCACUUAUAGAUGGUUCCGCGCCGCAUUAGCUAGUUGGUAAGGUAACGGCUUACCAAGGCAACGAUGCGUAGCCGACCUGAGAGGGUGAUCGGCCACACUGGAACUGAGACACGGUCCAGACUCCUACGGGAGGCAGCAGUAGGGAAUUUUCCGCAAUGGGCGAAAGCCUGACGGAGCAACGCCGCGUGAGUGAUGAAGGUCUUCGGAUCGUAAAACUCUGUUAUUAGGGAAGAAAAAAUGUGUAAGAAACUAUGCACGUCUUGACGGUACCUAAUCAGAAAGCCACGGCUAACUACGUG
rnacentral:rRNA from 1 species